rnacentral:rRNA from 1 species
AUGGGACCGUUUCCUUCCUCUAAUGGGUAUACACAUAUUUUAGUUGCUGUUGAUUACGUUACUAAGUGGGUAGAAACUAUUCCAACUAGUAGUGCUGAUCAUAACACCUCUAUUAAGAUGCUUAAAGAAGUUAUUUUUCUGAGGUUUGGAGUCCCUAGAUAUUUAAUGACUGAUGGUGGUUCGCAUUUUAUUCAUGGUACUUUUCGUAAAAUGCUUGCUAAGUAUGAUGUUAAUCAUAGGAUUGCAUCUCCAUAUCACCCACAGUCUAGUGGUCAAGUAGAAUUGAGUAAUAGAGAGCUCAGAUUAAUUUUGCAAAAGACUGUUAAUAGAUCUAGAAAGAAUUGGUCCAAGAAACUUGAUGAUGCA